rnacentral:lncRNA from 1 species
GUCUCGUUAGCCCGUCAUCCAAACCCUGGCUCAGCCGAGACUCGCCACACAUGUCCAACUAGUGAACCGGCUCUGAUACCAAAUGUAACAACCUAGCCUACUAGCAAUAAUAACUCGUUGGGCCUAACCAACAGCCCAAAAUGCUUAAGCCCAGUUAUUAUUACUAGUGUCUAAGUCUCUUAUAAACCCAAUGACAACCCUAUUCCGAUC